rnacentral:rRNA from 1 species
GACGAACGCUGGCGGCGUGCUUAACACAUGCAAGUCGAACGGAAAGGCCCUGCUUUUGUUGGGUGCUCGAGUGGCGAACGGGUGAGUAACACGCGAGUAACCUGCCCUUGACUUUGGGAUAACUUCAGGAAACUGGGGCUAAUACCGGAUAGGAGCUCCUGCUGCAUGGUGGGGGUUGGAAAGUUUCGGCGGUUGGGGAUGGACUCGCGGCUUAUCAGCUUGUUUGUGGGGUAGUGGCUUACCAAGGCUUCGACGGGUAGCCGGCCUGAGAGGGUGACCGGCCACAUUGGGACUGAGAUACGGCCCAGAAUCGUACGGGAGGCAGCAGUGGGGAAUAUUGCACAAUGGGCGGAAGCCUGAUGCAGCAACGCCGCGUGCGGGAUGACGGCCUACGGGUUGUAAACCGCUUUCGCCUGUGACGAAGCGUGAGUGACGGUAAUGGGUAAAGAAGCACCGGCUAACUACGUG